ACUGGGGACCGGUGGCCACAUGGAAGAACCAACAGCGUAAUGGAUGGAGGAUUGCCCACCAGGCAGCAUGCCAGACAUCAGGACACCCUAUGCUACUCUCUGGCUGAAGUUACCCUGGUCCACAUGCAAUUACAGAUUGCAGCCAACAUCAAAGACACCUGAUGUGGAUGAUCAAAGAUUCAGGAUUUAAGUAAAGCAAACGGCUUCUCUUUUGUAUUUCAAAGGUGCAUGCUAGAAGUGAAACACUCAUCUCUAGGGAAAUCAGAGACUGACCAGGGGCAAAUGAUGUUGGACACAAAAACCACCUAUUACAGCUCGGUUUCAGCUUCCCCAUCUCAAGGGCCAAGGAAGCAUCUCCUGUACUUGUGUGGGUUUUAGAACCGUGGUUUAUAGACCCUAAACCCUCUGCAGAUGGUCAUGACCUUCCUGUACCUUUUUGUCUCUGUCUUAUCUCUUGAUUUCUGGCACUAUGACAUUUCCCUUUCCUUCUUUCAAGUGCAGCCAUAUUUUAAAAACAAUAUCAAGUGUUUCUAUGUGUUUGUAACUGAAGGGAAGAGCUGCAUCAACUUAACAGAACAUGUUGCAAGAAGUCUGAAAACUCUCUCUGUACAUAAUAUGAUCAUCUACUUAAGAAAAUCAGCUAAAAAGCAGUUGGAAGUUAGAGUGUUUGGCAAGUUGAUCAGAGAGCAGAGCUGAGUACACUCAUCUAAAUUCAUACUGUCCUGUAACUCCACUAAAACCACCAGUAAAGCGUUCCUUUUUUUGCUACAAAUCCACAAGUUUGGGUAAAAUGAGAGUGGAGACAACGGUAUCAUUUUGGAAGCUAGAAAGGAGAUGGACAAGUGAUAACAUAUGUAGCUGACCUGAGAAAGAAGACUCUGAAGGCGGCAGUGAAAAAACGCACCAACCAACCAAAUUUACACUGCAGAAUCCUCAAAGGCUCAGCGAUUACUGGCAUCAGAAACUUUCAGAACUGGAGAUAGAGGUGGGAAUAAAGAGGAUUGGUGGAAAGCUGUUUCAGAAACAGGAAUGGGGAAUUAUUGCCUAAUGAGUACAGAGUUUGUGUUUGGGGUGAUGAAAAAUUCUGGAAGUAAGUAGUAGUGAUGGUUGCACAACACUGUGAAUGUAAUUCACACUACGAUUAAAGUAGCAAAUGUUAUGUCAUAUAUGUUUUACCACAAUAAAAAAGAAGCAGUUAGACUCCUA